rnacentral:rRNA from 1 species
GUCCACGCCGUAAACGAUGGACACUAGGCGUCGGGGGAGCGACCCUCCCGGUGCCGUCGCUAACGCAGUAAGUGUCCCGCCUGGGGAGUACGGCCGCAAGGCUGAAACUCAAAGGAAUUGACGGGGCCCGCACAAGCGGUGGAGCAUGUGGUUUAAUUCGAAGCAACGCGAAGAACCUUACCUGGGCUUGACAUGCACGGGAAAGCCGGUGGAAACAUCGGUUCCUCUUCGGAGUCCGUGCACAGGUGCUGCAUGGCUGUCGU